UCAUUACUCAAAUUAUCCGCACCAUGCGAUCACCCUUUCGUAACUCCAUUGGUGUGAAUCGCAUGUAUAAACUUGAUGCCUGUGGCGAUAAUUACCGACCACAUAAUCCCAAACUGAAUAGCCUUGUGACGUACACCUCCAAAUUAUCUCUAUGUCAUUCAUCAUAAUGUUAUAUACGUGCUGUUCAAAAUCAAUUAUAUACUUCAUUUGAAAAUAUUCUAUAACCGUUGAAAAGAAAAAAUACUAGAAAGAAUAUUUUCGAUCGUUUAUCUAAACUAGUUAAAAAUCUCCCUGUAAUUCUGAUUUUCCAUAGUCUUAAAAAUGUCUAUUGUUAAUUCAAAAUACAAGAGUUUAUUUACAAAUAUCACUUAAUUUAUACUAUCCUUUAUUUAUGUUAUGAUAUUUACGAUAAAAUAUGUUUUCGAUCGCUUAUGGAUCUACACCAUCAAUACGAUGAAAAAAAUAACAGCAGACAUCGUCCUUUUUAUACAGGGUAUACGAUUCGAAUGACACGUUACUGUUGAAGCGUCUUGCGCAUGCUCAUUCGAAUAACGGUGCGAAGAAAGUCCGAGAUAUUAGACAAUGGAUAGGUUUGCUCGGGAUAGCUUUGAAAGUUGCCGACGUGAAAUAUAAAUGAGAUUACGUCACAUGUUUAUGAUAAUUUGCUUUUUCUCUGUGUGUCGAGUUUCCCGACGUUGUGAAAAAAAAUUUGCUUUGGUUAACCUACGAAUAUAAAAAAAAGCUUAACUUCGAAAGCUAUCGUUUCAAAAACUGACAAAUAUAUUUAAUUUAUUAUCGAAUUCGAUAGAGAAAGAGAAAACAUGAGUGACAUAUUUCAGUUACGAUUUACAUUCAAUAAGACGAUAAUACCUAUCGCGUAUGGUGCUCUGAUCGUGAGACAUUGAAGAUAGUUGUUCAUUAAAAAUAAGAAAACGUGGAGGCUGUCCGUUGCCUCGAACGAUCAGAAAAAUGAUGUCAGCGAUAAGUCAGGUUACUGCUUUUUUCUCUCAUUUUAUUUACGAUGACGUCACCGUCGAAACGGUCGAUUAUUCGUAUGCAGCGUGAGCCGGAAUGAUCGUGGUCUUUCGUGCUAAGCAAAAUCAAGUUCCAACGACAUCAGAAUUUGUAUACGAAUGAUUAAUCGGACAUUAAAGGAGAAAAUCUUCAAAGUCAAAUCAAUCGAGUGGAAAUAGUUAAACUAUUUCUAUACAUAAGCGGCAUAGAACGUCGUCAUCGAUGCAUCCGCCAUACUAAGUUAUUACCAUAAACAACGAUUCUUGCGGUGAAGCUGUUGGCAAUCAUCAUGGUAACGUGGGCGACAGGAAAGAAAUAAAAAAGGUACGAACCGACGAGAAGAUUUCAUCGAUAACAAUUCCACGAAAUCGUGACUUACAAUUUAAAUAUUUUUAACGAUGUUACAUUAAUUUUUAUAAAUAAUAUGAUAAGAAAAAGAUAACGAAUAAUAAAUCAAAAACAAAC